rnacentral:rRNA from 1 species
CCUACGGGGGGCAGCAGUGAGGAAUAUUGGUCAAUGGACGGAAGUCUGAACCAGCCAAGCCGCGUGCGGGAAGAAGGCUCUAUGUGUCGUAAACCUCUUUUGUCCGGGAGCAAACGCUGGUACGCGUCCCCGUCUGAAAGUAUCUUACGAAUAAGCAUCGGCUAACUCCGUGCCAGCAGCCGCGGUAAUACGGAGGAUUCAAGGGUUAUCCGGAUUUAUUGGGUUUAAAGGGUGCGGAGGCGGUCUGUUAAGUUAGCGGUGAAAGCCCGGGGCUCAACCCCGGCCCCGCCGUUGAUACUGGCAGGCUAGAGUGGGGGAGAAGUAGGCGGAAUGUGCGGUGUAGCGGUGAAAUGCAUAGAGAGCGCGCAGAACACCGAUUGCGAAGGCAGCAUACC